GAUGAACGCUGGCGGCGUGCUUAACACAUGCAAGUCGAACGAAGCAAUUUUCUACGAUCCCUUCGGGGUGACGGAUUAUUGACUGAGUGGCGGACGGGUGAGUAACGCGUGGGUAACCUACCUUGUACAGGGGGACAACAGUUGGAAACGACUGCUAAUACCGCAUAAGCGCACAGCAUCGCAUGAUGCAGUGUGAAAAGUUUUUUCGGUACAAGAUGGACCCGCGUCUGAUUAGCUAGUUGGUGAGGUAACGGCCCACCAAGGCGACGAUCAGUAGCCGACCUGAGAGGGUGACCGGCCACAUUGGGACUGAGACACGGCCCAAACUCCUACGGGAGGCAGCAGUGGGGAAUAUUGCACAAUGGGCGAAAGCCUGAUGCAGCGACGCCGCGUGAGCGAAGAAGUAUUUCGGUAUGUAAAGCUCUAUCAGCAGGGAAGAUAAUGACGGUAC
rnacentral:rRNA from 2 species